rnacentral:rRNA from 1 species
AUGCAAAUGGAGGUCGUUCACCUCGGCGUAGCUCUCGUCUCCGCCGGCUUAUGUAUCGUGCUUCUUUCCAGCUGCAGCCGACGGCGCAGAGCGAACGAGCCGCCGGGGCCGUGGCAGCUGCCGGUGAUCGGUAGCCUGCACCACCUCGUCGGGCAGCUCCCCCACCGCGCGAUGCGUGACCUGGCCCGGCGCCACGGGCCGGUGAUGCUCCUCCGGCUCGGCGAGGUGCCCACGCUGGUGGUGUCGUCCCCGGAGGGUGCUCGCGAGGUGAUGAAGACCCAGGACUUAGCGUUCGCGACGCGGCCCCUGAGCGCCACCAUGCGCGUGCUCACCAACGGCGGCCGGGACAUUGUGUACGCUCCGUACGGCGACUACUGGCGACAGCUCAGGAAGAUCGCCGUCUCGGAGCUCGUAUCGGCGAGCCGCGUGCUGUCCUUCCGCGCCAUCCGUGAGGAAGAGGUCGCGGCCAUGCUCCACGAUGUUGCCGCGGCCGCGGCAGCCGGGCGCCCCGUGGAACUGCACACGCGCCUCUCGGCGCUCGUCACCGACAUCAGGGUCCGCGUCGUCAUGGGCGACAAUCGGUUUAAGGAGGGCGACGCAUUCCUCCGCACACUCGACCGCUCAUGGAAGAUCGCGGCCGGUUUCAACCCGCCGGACCUGUGGCCGUCGUCCCGGCUUGUGAGCUAUCUUAGCGGGGCCGUGGGCCGCGCCAAGGAGUGCCACGAUACCGGGAACGGCAUCGUCGACGCCAUCAUCCAGGAGAGACUUGAGAGGAUGGUGCAAGGUCAGAUUCAGAACGAGCACCCUGGCUUACUCGACGUUCUGCUAAGCAUGCAGAAGGAGGGAAGGCUCGACAUGGACGCCGUUAAAUAUGUCAUCUUCGACUUAUUAACUGUCGGCAGCGAGGCCACGAUCCUCGAGUGGGCGAUCGCAGAGUUGAUCAAGAACCCAGAGGUGAUGCAAAAGGCGACCGUCGAGGUCCGACGUGCCUUCGAGGCCUGCGCCACAGUAGCGGAACAUGCUCUGGGCGAGCUUUCAUACAUGCACCUAGUCAUUCGGGAGACGCUACGGCUGCACACGCCCACACCGCUGCUCGUCCCAAGGGAGUGCCGAGAGCCAUGCCAGGUGCUUGGGUAUGAUGUGCCACAGGGCACGCAGGUGCUGGUCAAUGCCUGGGCGUUGGCCCGUGACAAACAGUAUUGGCCUGACGCGCCGGACGAGUUUCGCCCCGAGCGAUUUGAGGGUGAGGCGACCGCGGUGGACUUCAGGGGCACCGACUUCUCCUUCGUGCCGUUUGGCGCCGGCCGGAGGAUGUGCCCUGGGAUAGCGUUUAGCCUCGUCGACAUCGAGCUUGCGCUCGCAAGCCUGCUAUUCCACUUUGACUGGGAGGGUCCACCUCCCGAUGAGCUCGACAUGACCGAAGAGUUUGGCAUCACGGUGCGCCGGAAGGCGGGCCUCCUGCUGCGCCCUGUCCUCCGAGUGCCCCUUCCUGGAGUGAGCAAUGGAGAUGCUUAG